rnacentral:rRNA from 1 species
AGUCAACAUGCCCAAAGGACGUGGAUAACCUCGGGAAACUGAGGAUAAACCGCGAUAGGUCAUAAGUACUGGAAUGUUUUAUGGCUCAAAUCUACAUGGCCUCUGGAUUGGACUGCGGCCGAUCAGGCUGUUGGUGAGGUAAUGGCCCACCAAACCUGUUACCGGUACGGGCUCUGAGAGGAGGAGCCCGGAGAUGGGCACUGAGACAAGGGCCCAGGCCCUAUGGGGCGCAGCAGGCGCGAAACCUCUGCAAUAGGCGAAAGCUUGACAGGGUUACUCUGAGUGAUUCCCGCUAAGGGAAUCUUUUGGCAUCUCUAAAAACGAUGCAGAAUAAGGGGUGGGCAAGUCUGGUGUCAGCCGCCGCGGUAAUACCAGCACCCCGAGUGGUCGGGACGAUUAUUGGGCCUAGAGCAUCCGUAGCCGGUCUUGCAAGUCUUCCGUUAAAUCCACCUGCUUAACAGAUGGGCUGCGGAAGAUACUACAAGACUAGGAGGCGGGAGAGGCAAGCGGUACUCAGUGGGCAGGGGUAAAAUCCUCUGAUCCAUUGAAGACCACCAGUGGCGAAGGCGGCUUGCCAGAACGCGCUCGACGGUGAGGGAUGAAGGCUGGGGGAGCAAACCGGAUUAGAUACCCGGGUAGUCCCAGCUGUAAACGAUGCAGACUCGGUGAUGGGCCGGCUUCAUGCCGGCUCAGUGCCGCAGGGAAGCCGUUAAGUCUGCCGCCUGGGGAGUACGGUCGCAAGACUGAAACUUAA